rnacentral:lncRNA from 1 species
CCGCUCCUUAAUUGAGCUUUAAUCUUCUUCUAAAGUCGGGUACUCGCAGAUGGACGGGUUGAGAAACCUCUGAAUUGUAAAAUUCAUAACUUCUUGCUCCGUGAAUAUAUUGGCCCAAUUCCAAUUGUCCUGGACUCCUUCUUGAGUGUAGAAUCCAUCAAAAUUAGACUCGUGAUUUAAACCCUCCUGGUUUGUAAGAUAUGGCAUUUUUAGUGCACGUAUAUCCUGGUUGGCGCCUUGGCUGGUUGAGUAGGGCUUUGGGUUGACCUCUGGUUCAGUUGCUGAUCUGAUGACCGCAUCA